ACCCGCUGAACUUAAGCAUAUCAAUAAGCGGAGGAAAAGAAACCAACAGGGAUUGCCCUAGUAACGGCGAGUGAAGCGGCAACAGCUCAAAUUUGAAAUCUGGCGCAAGCCCGAGUUGUAAUUUGUAGAGGAUGCUUCUGGGCAGCGGCCGGUCUAAGUUCCUUGGAACAGGACGUCACAGAGGGUGAGAAUCCCGUAUGUGAUCGGUUGGCACCCGCUACGUAGCUCCUUCGACGAGUCGAGUUGUUUGGGAAUGCAGCUCUAAAUGGGAGGUAAAUGCCUUCUAAAGCUAAAUACCGGCCAGAGACCGAUAGCGCACAAGUAGAGUGAUCGAAAGAUGAAAAGCACUUUGGAAAGAGAGUUAAAAAGCACGUGAAAUUGUUGAAAGGGAAGCGCAUGCAACCAGACUUGUCCGCGGUGUUCCGCCGGUCUUCUGACCGGUCUACUCGCCGCGGGCAGGCCAGCAUCAUCUGGGAGCGCCGGAUAAAGGUAGCGGGAAUGUGGCCCCUCGGGGUGUUAUAGCUCGCUACACAAUACGGCGCCUCCCGGGUGAGGUCCGCGCUUCGGCUAGGAUGCUGGCGUAAUGGUUGUAUGCGGCCCGUCUUGAAACACGGACCAAGGAGUCUACCAUCUAUGCGAGUGUUCGGGUGUCAAACCCCUACGCACAAUGAAAGUGAACGGAGGUGGGAACCGCAAGGUGCACCAUCGACCGAUCCUGAUGUCUUCGGAUGGAUUUGAGUAAGAGCAUAGCUGGUGGGACCCGAAAGAUGGUGAACUAUGCCUGAAUAGGGUGAAGCCAGAGGAAACUCUGGUGGAGGCUCGCAGCGGUUCUGACGUGCAAAUCGAUCGUCAAAUUUGGGUAUAGGGGCGAAAGACU
rnacentral:rRNA from 1 species